rfam:Anisakis simplex genome assembly, scaffold: ASIM_scaffold0000153
AAACUUACCUGGCUGGAAGGUUUCUGCGAACAAGAAGGCAGAACCUUCAUGGCGAGGCUGCACCAUUGCACUUCUGGUGCGGUUGACCCGUGUGGCAGUUCCGGAUCGGAAUUCGCCAACAGCAUAAUUUUUGCGUUUGGGGACAGCGUUCGCGCUUCCCUGC